UAGGGAAUCUUCGGCAAUGGACGAAAGUCUGACCGAGCAACGCCGCGUGAGUGAAGAAUGUUUUCGGAUCGUAAAACUCUGUUGUUAGAGAAGAACAAGGACGUUAGUAACUGAACGUCCCCUGACGGUAUCUAACCAUAAAGCCACGGCUAACUACGUGCCAGCAGCCGCGGUAAUACGUAGGUGGCAAGCGUUGUCCGGAUUUAUUGGGCGUAAAGCGAGCGCAGGCGGUUUCUUAAGUCUGAUGUGAAAGCCCCCGGCUCAACCGGGGAGGGUCAUUGGAAACUGGGAGACUUGAGUGCAGAAGAGGAGAGUGGAAUUCCAUGUGUAGCGGUGAAAUGCGUAGAUAUAUGGAGGAACACCAGUGGCGAAGGCGGCUCUCUGGUCUGUAACUGACGCUGAGGCUCGAAAGCGUGGGGAGCAAACAGG
rnacentral:rRNA from 1 species